CGGCCUCAAAAAAAAAAAAAGAAAGAAAGAAAGAAAGAAACAAACAAACAAACAAACAAACAAAUAAAUGGUAUCCAGUCAAAUGUUUCCAAAUUCAAGCGACAGAAGGGUAUAACAUGGUGAUUUUAAUCUCAACUAUAUUUUUCCCUUGCAUUUUGUAACAUGGCAAUCAUCACUGAGGGUGCUGGGCCUAGUUUUAGUAUCAUGAAAGAAGGUAAGUAGUCUGUUAAGAGACAGCAGAACCCACACAGUGAGAUGAGAGAACCUAUCUGGCAGGUUGUCCUCUCCUCACACUUAUACAGGAUUGCCCCUCCCCUUCCCUCCAUCCCUCUCUCUAUGCUAAAUAAAUGUAUUGUUAAAAGAAAGGGAGCUAUCACACAAUAAAUACAUGGAUUUUUAAAAGAGGGCCAAGGAAUAAACAGAAGGUAAACUAUAUAGUCGGCUAUAAUUUGACCAAGAAGAAGAGAAAAAAAAAUGAGAUGGUUAGAGUUUGGAUGUGCUUAAAAUGCAGGUUUUCAAAAAGGAACCCUCUAGACCUUGAACUGUCUUUAAACUGUGGAGACGUUUAAACUGCAAGGACUCUGAACACUGCCAUUACCUAGCUGUGUGACCUUGUGCAAGUCACUUAAUCUCUCUGGAGACUCAUUUUCCUCAUCUGUAAAAACAGGACUAAUAGUUACUGCUACAUAGGGAUUAAAUGAGAGAACACACUUAACAAACAGCACUCAGGUUGGCAAAAUGUCAUCCGGUAGAACUGAGCGGUCCUCUUACCACCCCCCUCCCCCAGAGCUACCUGUUUUCUAAAAGGACCCUUCGCUCAGAGACCCAGAGUCUCUAGCCUCCCGAAUGGAAUGGCCGCAGGCGAGCUGGGGCGGGCGAGGGGUAUGGGGGGGGGGAGCCAUGGUGCGCAGGCGCUCGCUCAAAAGAUAGGCAGGGUGCAAGGGGCGUGGCUGCCGCCGACUGGGCUGUUCCGACGAUCGCGCACCGCCCCCGCCGCUCCCCGCGCCCGCCCUUGCUACCAGGCACCUUCCGCCCCCCGCAUUGCUGAUGCUGCUGCUGGCAGACAUGGACGUGGUGAAUCAGCUGGUGGCUGGGGGUCAGUUCCGGGUGGUCAAGGAGCCCCUUGGCUUCGUGAAGGUGCUGCAGUGGGUGAGUGUGGUCCGGGCUAUAGGUGGGGGAAGUACAGGGGGAGAUGGUGGUGGUGAUGGGCUCCAGCAAAACAGAGGGGUGAGGCAGGAGGCGUCCUACUGAACUGGUGGGUGGAACGACAGGGGUGGAAGGAGAUGAGGGAAUUGGGCUCCAGAGUAAGGUCCCAGGGAUUUAAGGACAGGGAACAGAAGGCUAUGACGUCACAUAAGGCCGUGGGUACCCCUGUUGUGAAGUGACAGAGUGUGACAUUCUACCUCCUCUCUUGAACUAAAGGAGGAAAGGAUGGGAGGUGGAGCCUGAAGCCCUGACUGCUGAAAGAGAGAUGCAAAACCAGAAAAAUCCAGAGACAGCCAAGGAGACAGAGUAUGAGAGGCAGGGGACGGUGGUAAUGGCAGUGCUGAGUAAAAGAAAUGAGAGCCAGGGAGCUGCUCUCAGAGCAGGAAAAUGUGUAGGGGAAAGAAAGGCACACACAGAUAUAAGGAAUCUCAAAAGAGAAAACAGAAGGCAACAGACAGAAGGCACAAGGGAGCCAGAGAACCAGAGAGACCUUGUGAAAGACAGAACAGAC
rnacentral:lncRNA from 1 species